rnacentral:rRNA from 1 species
ACCAAGCGAGAUAUCAUCAUGAAGAAAAUGGUGGUCUGAUCUCGGAAGCUAAGCAGGGUCGGGCCUGGUUAGUACUUGAAUGGGAGACCACCUAGGUAGACCAGGUGCUGUAGAAG